CGUGAGUGGCGGACGGGUGAGUAACGCGUGGGUAACCUGCCUCAUACAGGGGGAUAACAGUUAGAAAUGACUGCUAAUACCGCAUAAGACCACAGCACCGCAUGGUGCAGGGGUAAAAACUCCGGUGGUAUGAGAUGGACCCGCGUCUGAUUAGGUAGUUGGUGGGGUAACGGCUUACCAAACCGACGAUCAGUAGCCGACCUGAGAGGGUGACCGGCCACAUUGGGACUGAGACACGGCCCAA
rnacentral:rRNA from 1 species